UUUUAGGAGAGUUUGAUCCUGGCUCAGGAUGAACGCUGGCGGUGUGGAUAAGGCAUGCAAGUCGAGCGAGUCCGCCUUCGGGCGAGACGAGCGGCAGACGAGUUAGUAACACCUUGGUACGUACCUCGAAGUCGGGCAUAACUCCGCGAAAGCGGCGCUAAUUCCCGAUAGUCUGGCAACAGUAAAGUUUUUACGCUUCGAGAGCGGCCUAGGUCCUAUCAGCUUGUUGGUGAGGUAAUGGCUCACCAAGGCGAUGACGGGUAGGGGGUGUGAGAGCACGACCCCCAACGAUGGCACUGAGACACGGGCCAUACACCUACGGGUGGCCGCAGUCGAGAAUAUUCCGCAAUGGGCGAAAGCCUGACGGAGCGACACCGCGUGCAGGAAGACGGCCUUAGGGUUGUAAACUGCUUUUUUCAGGGAAGAAUUUUGACGGUACCUGACGAAUAAGGGGCUGCUAACUUCGUGCCAGCAGCAGCGGUAAUACGAAGGCCCCAAGCGUUAUCCGGAUUAACUGGGCGUAAAACGUGAGCAGCUGGUGAUAUUAGUCUGAUGUUAAAUCUUACCGCCCAACGGUAAGGCCGCAUUGGAAACGGUAUCACUUGAGUUGGUAAGAGGCAUACAGAACGUGCGGUGUAGGGGUGAAAUCCGUUGAUAUUGCACGGAAUACCAAAAGCGAAGGCAGUAUGCUGGUGCCAAACUGACGGUCAGUCACGAAAGCGUGGGGAGCGAAUGGGAUUAGAUACCCCAGUAGUCCACGCUGUAAACGUUGCAGACUCGCUAUCGGGAGCAUCGACCCUCUCGGUGGCCAAGCAAACGCGUUAAGUCUGCUGCCUGGGAAGUACGAGCGCAAGCUUAAAACUCAAAGGAAUAGACGGGGAUUUGCACAAGCGGUGGAUCAUGUGGUUUAAUUCGAUUAUAAGCGGAAAACCUCACCAAGGCUUGAAAUCUAGCUGCAAGCUCUGAGAAACCAGAGCCGCCUUCGAGGGUGCUAGACAGGUGCUGCACGGUUGUCGUCAGCUCGUUCCGUGAGGAGUUCUCUUAAGUGAGGAAACGAGCGCAACCCCUAUUGCGUGUUAUACGUGUCACGCGAGACUGCCGAGGAUAACUCGGAGGAAGGUGGGGAUGACGUCAAAUCAGCGUGGCCCUCUGAUGCCUUGGGCUACACACAUGAUACAAUGGGUGGUACAACGGGUUGCCAAGUCGCGAGACGGAGCUAAUCCUAUCAAAGCCAUCCUCAGUUCGGAUUGGAGGCUGCAACUUGCCUCCAUGAAGUCGGAAUCGCUAGUAAUCGCGGAUCAUCACGCCGCGGUGAAUACGUUCUCAAAUCUUGUACUCAC
rnacentral:rRNA from 1 species